GGCCCGGCUGUGGCUGUGGCGCCCGUGAGGAGCCGGCGUGGGAGCCCGGCCCAAGGGAGCCCGGAAGCCGCCGGGACCUCCGACAGCGGACGGGCCGCGGAGGGGCCCGGCGGGCUCCGCUCAGGCCUCGUGUGAUGAAGGAGAGAGGGCGGGUGUCCGGCGACGGUGCCUUGUUGUGGUGCCGUGCGCCUUGGUAACCCUGCCUGGGCUAGGAUUAGCUGUCCUGUGGGUGCCGGCUCGUUUCGGUUUCCUGGCUGGUUGUUAACCAUUUUUUCCCGCUGGGUUUCUGUAUAUUCUGUGGCCGGUGUGCCCACUCGUGUUUGUGCCACCUUUUGCUAAUACAACGAUAAUGCUCUUUAUUUUGGACUUCAGUCAAGCGUAUGAGGUUUUUUCCUCCUUUAUUAUAUUUGUUGUGUUGUUGCUUAGCUGAUAGCCUCAGAGCAGGGGAAAAAAGUAAAUGAAGCUCGUUGUGGUCUUUUUCCUUUUCAGGAGUCACUUAAUAAAAUGGAUGGCACAACACAAGCAGUAAGGAAGAGAUCUUCUCUUUGUAGGGUUACUCAGGAAUCUGCCAAUGGAGAGAGGGGUCAGCAGUGAGAAGUGAUGCCUGCUUUCAGUCCUGAAGGCAGGAAGACAAAGUGGUCUCACCAUCAGCACGUGAAUGCAACUGCCUUCAUUUCAAAUCUGGAGAGCAGGUGGGUGUGGGUUUUAUUGGUACUGACAGUUUUAACCCUAACAACAACUGCUUUUGUUAACUGGUGGGAACAAGUUCUCCAUGGUAAAAAGAGAGCAAUUACAGUUUUUCACUAUGCUGCCUGGUAGACAGAUGCCAUUUUAAAUGUCCUGCUCCAAAGCUGUAUCCUUUUCUACUGUAAGAGUUCUCUCAGUAAAGAAAGAUUUGACCCGUGCAGGAAAAAAAAGUGUAGCAUAUUGUGUCCAUAUGUCUUGCCAGCUUGCUCCUUUGCUAGUUGGAGCAGGUAGAAGAGAGGAAUUUAAGUCCUUUUUCUCCAUCUUGCUAUCUCAGGUGGACCUCUUGGUUGUGCCCUAUCUGAUAAGUGGGGGUAAGGUAAGGUCUAAUUACUCUUAUGACCAAGACAUAUUUCAUCAGAAAGCAUUUUUGGAUGCCCUGAAUAGUGUUUUACAGUUGGGGUCCAAGUUGCUGUUGCCCUUAAGAAGCAAUCCUGCUUUUCACAGUUAAAUUUUUGCUGCAACUACCCUGUACCCUGUUCUGUCAACCAGCGUUGUUAGGCAGAUCAAAGAGGUAAAAUGGCCACAAACUAAUCCAGCUGAGACACAGCUAUUUUUUCAGACAUGUGCAACAGUAGUACAGAAAAAUGGUGGGAAAGGAUGGCCCUUAUGUGAAGGAAGCUUGCAGACAGAUUGGCUCACUGUGAUCCUGGAAGCAUGCCUUUAGUAUUUCCCUGGGUCUGUGGGUGAAAGUCAUUCCUAAUUAGAUCUGUUUUAUUGGAAUGCUCUCAGCCGUAGCUGUGCUGCUGUAGGACCUGUCUGGGCUGCUGCUGAAGCCCCACGUUCUGCUCUGUGGUUGAGCUGUGCAUCCAGGCAGGUGGCAGCACGUACUUCAGAGAUGACCAACUUGGGAGCACACAGCAAGUAGAGACUUUAAGCUACGUAAUGACUUUAAGCAGUUAAUUUCUCUCUGUUGCCACGUAGUGGUGAUGUUGGUUGUUGCCUUCAAGGAGCUUUGGACUUCUGCUGCUGAGGGCAUGUGACAGGUAAGUUGGCAAUAAGGGUCUUACAGACCUGUACCUAUAGGUGACUUUCUCCAGAGCUGCAUGGUUUAUCCAGUUAUCCACAUGGUGGUGUUUGCUUCUGUUUAUCCUCCAUUUUCCAUGUACACAUUCCUACACCUCAGCAGGAUCAGCUAAUCAACAACAGGAGCUGUUUUCCUAGGAAUAACUGACAAAAUGUAAUACAUUUUAAGGGUAGCAUGCUGCCAGUAUCCCCUUUUGAGUCUACUCUGUUGUCAUCCUAGGUUAUUCUAUAUCUAGAAGAUUUUCCUAUCCCAUCUUUAUCACAUCAAAGGCUUGGUUUGAUCCUCCAAUGAUCCUGUUUCCAUGAUGAAUCCCUAAUGUGUCAGGUUUUUAUCAUUAUCUUAUUUUAUGCUGAUAAGCAGACAUGGAGGAUAGAUCAUUCAGAAGAAUGUGUGUAUAAAUGAGAUCAAUAGCACUGUAAAAUCCUCUCCACCAGAUCUUGGUCAUGAGCAUGAGUGUGAUCUAGGCCUUAACAAAAUUUAUAUAGCAUAUGUAAAUACACAUUCACUGUCAGGACAGUUUACAGAACAACUGAUUUAAAUAUGUUAAAUAAAAUCUGGUUUUCCUCCACUUGGCUGUGUCCAGUACUACAAACUCAGAUUUACUGAGUCACUGAGUUCCUGAGUCUUAAAUUCUGUUGCUGAAGUUUUUAUGGUUUUUUUUCACAGCAAAUCAGAAAAGAAAAAUGGGAAAUCAAGAUUAUUGUAUAUUUUCAAGAUUUAGCUAAGAUGAGAAGGAAAGCUUGAGUAAGACUAGUGUAAUAUUCUAGAGUAUUUUCCUUUUAGGAAUUGGAUAAAGGGAAGUGAUGUCUCUACACUGUUUUAUGCAAAUAGAUUACUGACUGUCACUCUAAGUUCAUGCUCAACAUCAGUAGAGAAGCUGUUACUCUAGAAGUUUAUAAAUGUUCAACCUUUAUUGUUUGUUUUGUAAUCUUUGUUUCUUAACAGCUUGUCCUUGUCUUUGUUUUUUAUCAAACUGGUCAUCUCAUUACUCUGUGAUUAAAUGGAUGACUUUGUCCUGUAAGCUGCCUGGCAAAACCGGGCAUAUUUUGAUACAAGCUGGGUUUGUUUCAGAUUUACAUCUGUGUACAUGGCAUUUCUUCUGUGAACCACUUCAGGUAUGGAUUCAUUAAUAGUUGUUCACAACAAAAAACCUCAGGCAUUUUAGUCUUUUUUUUUUUUUUUUGUAGUGAGGAGGAAAACAACUGAGUAGAAGGAAAAGCAUUAAAACUAAAUUUCUCUCUCCAUGCUCUGUUCCAACAUGACAUUAGGUGCAGUAGUCAGUGUUGGGCAGUACUGGGCUGUGGUUGCUCAGUGCCAGAAUUUUACAUAGCUCUGAACACGUUUGGGUGGAAAGGGGAGGUCCAGCUCUCACAAUCACUUUUUUUUCCACAGCCUGCGUGAUCAUCUUGACAGGUCACUGAUUCUGUUGCACCACACUCUGUUGGGCUGUGUGUGUGCAGGGUUUCCAUACUCAGCCUGUGAGGCGUGGAAGAAGGUGGCAGUCCAAUCUAUGAGUCAAUUUUUGGAGGUGUGGAAGAGGAGUCAGUGAAGGAACAUAAAAAGGUGAAGAUUGGGGAAUGGAAUGUUUGGCGUUGGUUUUAAUUAGAAACAUCCUGUUCAUCACUCAUAUGUGAGAUAAAAAGGGAAGAAUAUCCAGUAAUAGUACACUGAAAGAGGAAAUAUCUGUAUUUUAGUGAGCAAUUCUAAUGAAGCUGCCAAGUAUAAUUGAAUUGAAAUACAGACCCUAUUCCAACAAUAUUUGCCUUAUUGUAGUGUAUUGAGUGAGAGUCAACUGGCAUUGUAUUUAUUCCUAAUCUUUCUGCAGCUGAUGACUUUUGUCUAAAAUCCAAAGUACUUCAGCACUCAGUAUUAAACUUAGAAAUUUCCUCUAUCAGCUAAAAGAUAAAUACAGCUCAACCAACAAACCUUUCUUUCAUAAACCCGAGGCUUCUUGUACCUGUCCAAUCAAAAUGGUACAAAGAUGGCUCUUGUACUGUGACCUAGAAGAGCAAGUGUGUAAAACAGAGGAGGAAGCUGAUACUUGCAAAGCUCAGAGCUGAAGGUUCUUUUGGUUUGGGCUGUGGGGGGGCUUUGUUCUUGCCAAGGAGGAACCAACCACUGAACUCCUCUGCUCACGUUCUCCUGGGUGUGGUGCUGUGAUUCGAUGAGAGAGGUAUGUGCUGCCCGUGACUGCAGCUAAUCACCUAGAGUGACCUCUGCUCUCCCUUCCAGCAAACCAGCUGCACUGAGACUGUUACUGGAAAUUAGAUUAAAAUCUGCUGCUCCUGGAUUUGGUUAAUUAGCUGACAGUACCUUUAAAAUAAUUUUUAGAGCAUUUGGACAGUGAUGUGAAACAUGCAUCACUUUCAAGGCUUAAAGCUUAAUAAAUUAAGUGAAACAAUCUGAGAUCCUUCCACAUGUCAAAGGGAAGAGUUUAAGAGGUUUAAAUUCAGAGUGUUCUACAUUAUAAAACUUAACAAAUAUCAAUAUAAAUGGGUACAAGUAGUCCUUCCACCCUCUGGAUGAUACAAAAGACUUUCCUCACUUUCAAUGAAUGUAUCUAUGUAGACUGAAGCUUCCUCUGAACCAAAUUUUUUUUUGGAUUCUGAUUAAAAAACAUGUGAAGAGAUGUUGCAGAGUAAAUAACUUUGAAUUACCAUAAAGCUGUGACAUAUCAUACCUAAAAAUAGUGGUAGAGAAAACUCUUAAUUUCUAAAAUUUUUCUAAAAUAUACAGAGACAUUUUUGACAUUCCAUUCAGGUCAUCAAAUUGUAACAAGCUAUCAUACUACAGUGUAAGACAUAAAUUUUAAAAGAAUGAGAAGUGCAGGAAGUUUGAAUGAUGCAUGACCGUAAAUUUACUCAUCUUUUAUAUAAUGCCUUCUUGAGGUGCUGACAUCUUCAGUACAUUAAUUGUUCAUAAUGAAUACUCUUGCAUAAAACAUUCAAAGGUAAUUUUCUGAGGCCAAAGAAUGACUAAAAAGUUAUUCACUAAAGACCAAUCAAUAAUCUGUAUCCAAAAGAACACUCAUGGGAUGUGAAAUAAACUGAUGUAACAGGUAGAGAAGUUUGCAUAUAUAAAAUAAUCUGCCCUUUUUAUAGGUUUGAUGCCCUAAAACAGAAGCCACAGAAUUGGGUGAACUGGUGUAGAGGCAAAACCAUUAUGUUCUAAUCAUGUUUCAUUGAGGGCAAAAGGAAAAAAAACAGUGUUGGGCAAAAUAUCCAUAUCUGUUGUGGCAGAGAUCCAGGAGAUGGCCACCUCUGCUGCAGGUAAUACACGAUUGCUUUUGUGCUGCAUACUUCAGGAUGGAUAAUAAUAAUCAUGGAAAAUAUGUUUAAAGAAUAUACUAAAAUAUCAGGAAAAUAAAUUAAUUGGUCUAUCAGGCUUCUUCCAGGCAAUAGAUUUUUAGCAACUUGUCAAAUAUUUCUUGGCUGUUCUACCCUCACAUAAGAUCUUUCCCUGGUUCAUAAAGAAAAUUAAUGUGAAAUCAAUAAUGGUGUUUAAAAAUUCACCAAGCACUUCCCAUCCAGUGAAAGUCUCACUUUCAGAGUGCCACUAAUGCAACAGGCAGAGUGGGAAAACCACACAGACUUGACCUUAGUGGUUAAAACAGAAGCCAGUGCAGAUGGAAAGUGCAGUGAAGAGAUGCUUUCAGAAACAACCAGAAGAACCUGCCUGCUUCCUCACAAGAACAAACCUCUAAAAAGAGCCACUGUGAGCAUCAGCUUGCAAAAGUACUGUUUGAAGAUGCAGUCAAGAUGCUAUGCUGACUUCCUGCUAGAAGAUAUAAAGUGUCCUGAACAGCAACAACAAAACCAAAAACCAAAAACAACAACAAACCCAACCAGCCAAAAAAAAAAAAAAUCACGUAAGAGUGAAAACCACAACAGAAAAAAAAAAAGUCUCCUCUAGCACCAUCCAACCCUCUAAGCUGCUGGAUUUCA